AGAGUUUGAUCCUGGCUCAGGAUGAACGCUGGCGGCGUGCCUAAUACAUGCAAGUCGAACGAGGUGCUUUUGUAGCAAUACGAAAGUAUCCUAGUGGCGAACGGGUGAGUAACGCGUUGGUGACCUACCCCAAAGUGUGGGAUAACAGUUCGAAAGAACUGCUAAUACCGCAUGUGGUUAUCGGGUUUAGAAACUGAUAACUAAAGGAGCAAUUCGCUUUGGGAGGGACCUGCGUCCCAUCAGCUAGUUGGUGAGGUAACGGCUCACCAAGGCUACGACGGGUAGGGGACCUGAGAGGGUGACCCCCCACAAUGGAACUGAAACACGGUCCAUACACCUACGGGUGGCAGCAGUAGGGAAUAUUGCACAAUGGGCGAAAGCCUGAUGCAGCAACGCCGCGUGUGCGAUGAAGGCCUUCGGGUCGUAAAGCACUUUUCUGAGAGAUGAGCAAGGACAGUAUCUCAGGAAUAAGUCUCGGCUAACUACGUGCCAGCAGCCGCGGUAAUACGUAGGUGGCAAGCGUUGUCCGGAAUUAUUGGGCGUAAAGGGCGCGCAGGCGGCGUCGUAAGUCGGUCUUAAAAGUGCGGGGCUUAACCCCGUGAGGGGACCGAAACUGCGAUGCUAGAGUAUCGGAGAGGAAAGCGGAAUUCCUAGUGUAGCGGUGAAAUGCGUAGAUAUUAGGAGGAACACCAGUGGCGAAAGCGGCUUUCUGGACGACAACUGACGCUGAGGCGCGAAAGCCAGGGGAGCAAACGGGAUUAGAUACCCCGGUAGU
rnacentral:rRNA from 1 species